GGAAACUUGGAAACUACCGUUGGAUCGAGAAAUGGAUGUCCGAGAUUCGUCCACGUCACCACGAGUUAAAAUUUAACUCGCAGAUUCACUCAUGAGUUAAAAAUUUACUGGGAGUUAAAUUUUAACUCGUGAUGACGUGGACGAAUCUCGGACGUCUAUUUCUCGAUUCAACGGUAGUUUUCAAGUUUCC
rnacentral:pre_miRNA from 1 species